AUUGCUGUCUGCUGUGAUGCAAGGAGGAAGGACCACACUAUGACAUGAUGCAAUUCCAGCUGCACUUCCAGCACUGCAUGACCUCACCAUGGCAUUACCAGCAAUGAAGUUUCUACUGGUUUCCAGUCCUAGGCUUGUACAGAGCACCAGCUGCUGAGGCCAUUUGAAUGCAAGUGAAAAAAUCCAGAUGAUAUCUUUUCACAUGACUAAGUUCCACCAGCAAAAGAAACUGCUUUAGGAGGCCGUAUACAUAUCAGAAGCUCAAAUGCAAGGCAAAUUAAUCCUUCAGAGGCCCAUCUUUGCAUACAAAACUACUCACGUAGAUACACUUUUAAUAUACCUUUAAAAGACAGGAGCUAGAGGACACCAGGCCUGUCCACUUCUCAGGGCAAGUGGUAGGAACACUUGCCCAAGAAAGCAUGUGGGGUGCCAUGCAGGUUGCUCCUUAUUCUCAGUGGGUUUACACUCCCUCUCCUCUCCUCUCCAUCAGCAGAAGGCUAAUACUAAACAGUUACAGCUUCAUGUACGUGGGAGAGAAGUAACAUGAACAAAAAUACAGCAGAGUGUGCUGUUCAACCUAGCAGUAGGGCACAAGGGUGGUUGGGCUCUUGAGCUGUGGAACUAUAGAAAUAGUUGAGAUUAGCAACUGUGCAUUUUCUUAUUUCCAAUUAUUCUUCUAGGUUAUGUAAUGAGAUUCCUGGUGCAGUGAAAUGCCCAAUGCAUAACUUUGUUGAACUAAGAUUUUGGCUCCAAGAGGAGGUUAUGCCCAUGCUAGGUAUCUAGGUGCUUCAAAAGGGAACUGAUACAUCAUCAUCAGUGCCCAAGGCAUGUUCAGAAGAAUCAUGGAAACAUUUAGUGUCCUAUGAACCUGUUCAGCUUCCAGCACUGAAAUGGCUUUCAAGGGUAAUACUGGCAUUUGUUGAAGCAUCUGUUUCCCAGAGGUGUGCUUGUUAUUGAUCAGCUCACAAAGAAGGUCUGCCCAUAAUGAAAGCAGAAGGGUUCAUGUAGGUAUGGUUCAGAAAGGAAGAGAAGAGAAGAGAAAGGAUGGGAAGAGAAGGCAAGCCAAGGCCAGGCAAGGCAGGACAGUAAGGUACAAUACUCAAAAUCAGUCAUACCUCUCCAACUUCUGAAUUUUCUGUAAGCAAAACCAAUGUAGUGCCAAAUUCAUUCUUAAUUAACAACCUUGACGUUGGAAAAAAACACCUUUUUUUUUCUCACAAUGCUACCUAAAGAUAUGCUAUGCCAAUGCCUGUUUAAAUGCUUAAAUACUUGAGGUUUGUUAAGAAAAUGUGUUUCUAAACAUAUUUUAUCAAGUGAAGUAGAUUUGAGAAAAAAACAACAGAAUUACCCCUGCAUUUUUGUAGUUAGAGGAAUAAUAUUGUUUUGUUCCACCAAUGUGUCUACUUUACAUUGUUCAGCACAAAGCUUUGUGGAAUAAGAAUCAUGGGAAUAUCACAAUAUAAAGGAAAAAGGUACAAAUAACAGCUUCAUAAACUGAGAAAUGUACAUAAAUAAAUCAUGUAGAUGGGGGCAGUUUGCUUAGCUGGCAAGAAAAAAAAAAAGGAAAAUAUGCUUGUUAAACAAUAACCACAGAGUGUGCUUUUAUGAUGUUUUUCACCACAGUAAUUCAUAUUAGAGAUAGAAGCAGUUGCAUGUUAAAUAAAAUCAUUCAGCAUUGUUCGCCUCACAUUACAAAGAGCUGACUUAUGUUGUUUUUAGAUGCCUCCCAUUAGAAAGUAAAUAUUCCUCUGAUGUUAUACAUUUCAGAAAAUUUAAUAAAGAUGAACUGUAAAUAAAGUCACAGGGAGAUUUCAGACAGUUUUAUUAGCAGAUUGUUGAAAAGAAAAGAAAAUUAAAUACAAUAACAGUAAACGUGGUUCUCACAUUGAAACCAGGCUCAAAUAACUAGGCUACCAUAGAAAAAUUUCCAAUUCUUGCAUUAUGAUGUAAAAACAGAUUUUUGUACAGAUUUUGUACAACAAAAUUCGUAAUAACCUUUUUUCAUUUUUAGAAAACUUUAAAUAUAUAGAUAAAAAUAGACAAUUUUCAUAGGUCCUACAUGAAGAUGAGUAUGUUCUGUUCCAAGGGCUUGCAUAGAGCGCAAAUAUGGUUAUAAUAUAGAACAACUAGACAUUAAUAUCUUUAAGAUUACAAAAGCAUAUAAACAAUAACAUGAGGACAACUUUUCUUCAUAAUCUAUGCAAAAAAAAAAAAAUCCAAAUCAAAACCCAAAACCAAAACACCAACCCAAAACCUGUAAAACUAAAGAGGGGCAAAAAACUUCAACUUACGGUAACAUCUCAUGGUCUGUAAUAUUUACACUGUUUUUAGCAAGAUUCUUUCUAAACAUCCAGCUCAUAAAUUGGUUCCCCUUUAAUCCUUAACACUUCUGUUUAUGUACCAAGCCAAACACUGAGGCAUUCCCAAAGGUCUUGAAAGAAUAUACUGUAAAACUACUAAACCUACUUACAGGUGACUCUAUGCAAGGAGCAGAGCAAUGGUAAAUGCUAGUACAUAUUUCAGUUGUAGGCUUUUAAUUCUCUUUCAGAUAUGAAUGAUUCAAAAGCUUGCCACAAGUCCAUCUAACUUUACAGCUGUUAACCCUUUAAAGACUGCAUAUGAAAAAACUGGAGUACAGAAUCCCAUGUGUGUUUAAGCAACUAUGACAAUCAAGAAGGACUCAUGGUUAGAAAACAACAUCACUACAAAGUAUUAGACAACAAUAUUUAAUGAAAAAUAUUGCUCAAUAUUUCUUUAAAAAAAUUACUGUGAUGUGAACUUGUAUAUACAUCUUUCUAUUGUUAAAAAAGGAUUGUGGUGGAGUAAAUAUGAACUGCACAAAAUAAAUGUGUACCAGUAUUGUGAGGAAGACCUACAAACUAUAGAAGCUCAGUGCUAGAGUUUACAAAACAUUAGAUUUUUUUUUGACAAAAUAAUAUUAAUAUCCAAUCAGAACUACUUUUAAAGAAAUAUUUGCUUUAAGUUAGGCAUCUUAAACAUUUAAGGUUUUGAUAUGUUUCCGUGUAAUAAAUAAUAUUUUAUAUGCAUAAAACAUUAGAUGAAGAAAGCAUAAUCACAAAACUUACAGUAAUAGCACUGAUUCACAAAAUCAGUCUUUAAAGGGGUAACCCAAAAGUAUGCAAAGCAAAGAACAUAAUUUUUAGUAAUGUAAUAAGCAGUGUUUUGCAGCUUACUUCCAGUUAUCAGCACAAAGGUGAAAACACAUAUUGUAGCUUUCAUAAAGACAGUGAAAGUAACACAUAACCAUCCAUCCCUAAGACAAGGUGGGAGGGACAAUAGACUUCAACUGUAUCACUCAGUUCUACGUGGAAUUGGACUGAUACAUCAAGUGUUUGUUAGGUUUUCUUUUUUUUAGCAACAUUGACGUAAUAUGACAUUAACAUAUAAAAAUAUUUCUGGCAUUUUGACUUGCUGCUCAGCCACAGUCCAUUCUUAGAAGUGCACUAGUCAGGGCACUAACCAGGGCUCAAUAUACAAAUAAAAGUGGCUGAUACAGAAUUCUGACUUGUUACCAGAUGCUUAAGAUCUCAUUCAGUAAUACUGUGACUCCAGGACAAAUAUUUACAUGCCUGCAUGCGUUAAAACUAGAAAGGUGUCUUUCUGACCAACAGGGUGACAAAACAAUAUUAUCUAAAAGUUUCAUUUCCUAAACUCUAGAUUUCUACUGCAUACAUAAUACCUUCCUUGUGUGAUUUGUGUUAUAUACUGUACAUGUGACCAACAUUUUGAUAAGAAGCAAAGUCUUUUAUUUCAUAAACCCCUGCCAGUUUACAAUGAGAAAUUAUUAUUUUUUUUUUUUAAAUUUUAUUUUAGGAAAAGAGACUUUGUGAAUGGUAAAACAGUUUGUUUACAUUCAGCAUUUCUUUUCACUUACACAAAAUUCCAUUUCACUUAAUGUAGUCUUACAUAUAUGUGUUGGUCUCUUGGAAA